rnacentral:rRNA from 1 species
GAUGAACGCUGGCGGCGUGCUUAACACAUGCAAGUCGAACGGAAAGGCCCAAGCUUGCUUGGGUACUCGAGUGGCGAACGGGUGAGUAACACGUGGGUGAUCUGCCCUGCACUUCGGGAUAAGCCUGGGAAACUGGGUCUAAUACCGGAUAGGACCACCUUUUGGAUGGUGGGGUGGAAAGUUUUUCGGUGUGGGAGGAGCUCGCGGCCUAUCAGCUUGUUGGUGGGGGAAUGGCCUACCAAGGCGUCGGCGGGUGGCCGGCCUGGGAGGGUGGACGGCCACAUUGGGACUGAGAUACGGCCCAGACUCCUACGGGAGGCAGCAGGGGGGAAAUUUGCACAAUGGGCGCAAGCCCGAUGCAGCGACGCCGCGUGGGGGAAGACGGCCUUCGGGUUGGAAACUCCUUUCGCUAGGGACGAAGCGUUAUGUGACGGUACCUGGAGAAGAAGCACCGGCUAACUACGUG